ensembl:lncRNA
AUGGAUGGGAUUGUUUGAGAAGAAAAGGAUGCACCUCAUCAUGAAUGAGGUUAAAAAGCUCCAAACCUGCAGGUACCAUGCAUUCACACAUGCAUACAGAGAAAUGUGAAAUAAAAAGCUGCACAUGCGUCUCAUGGGAACGGCUGCAGGUUAAACAGUCACUCCUCUCAGUCAGCGAUCUCCAUGGUGUCAGCAGAUGCUCUGUAUAUGCGUUUACUCAUUACAACGACAGGAUAGAGACUUUCCAUAACCACAAUUAAUGCAGCCAGGACCUCUGAGAGCAAUCCCAGAAUGCACUGCACUUUUUAUUACUUGUCAGAUCAAAUGCACAAGCAAAACAUCUGUCGAGAACUAGAUUUGGUUUCUGAAGAAAAUUAGAGUUUUUCUUGUUUGGGAGUUGUGUGCGGUUCCUAGGUAACCCAAGUCAAAGGAAUUCACACCUAAGUGUAUAUAUCAAUAUAGUUUGAUUAAGUUAAAGUGUAAUACUUAUUGUCUGGAGUUUCUUUGAAUCACUAACACAACAGUAAUAGUUAUAUGAAUAAUCAAGCACCAUUAACUAGCUCAAUGAAAAGCCAUCAGGACAUCAGUCUCUCAUGGAAAAUCCCAGCAAUCCCUGAAAAUAUUGUGAGCACAUUUUAGAGACUCGUACAGUAUUACAGGAAACACUCUGCACUUCAUGAAAUGAGAGAUCUUCUAGAAAGCUCUCCAGAUAAUUCUGCAUCCCAUCACAAGUGCUUACCGGCUCUAUUUAUGCCUGGUAAGUACCCUAGAGAGAGUGUGUGAGGGUCUCUGCGGUAUAUUGCUCUGUCAAUAUGCCCCACUUGCAGGUACACAUGACUGGGAUGAAGUCCCUGACAAACACGAGGAAGAGAUGACGACUUUGUCAUCAUUUAUUGUUGCCUUUUUCCUUCUAGGAUUCUCUUGUUCUUCACAGAGCGAGAGUUGUGUGGCAGGUAACGUCAGUUUGUUGGUGUCUGUCAGCAAUAACUCAACUCUGCUGGUUGACUGGAACAGUGGGAGCAAACAGACGACCCAAUGUGCUCUGCUCAUCUCAAGCGAAGGAAGACAGGAGAUCCAGAUACACCUUUUACCAAGGUCUGGAUCUCUCCUGUUGGAAAACAUGACAGACAAUGGCAAACACUCCUUCUUAUGCACUUGUUUUGAACAAUCUCGGGGACUCUUGUGCUCCAAGAACAUAAGCUUUGUUAUGGGCGCUGUUUCCACACCACCUCUGGUCCUGAUGUCAAAUACUCAAAGCUCUGCCAGUUACAUCAGCAUGAAAUGGUUGAGCAACGGUGUGUUUGGAAUGACUUUAGCGACAUUCGGCAUUAUUCUAAUCUACAUUAUAUACAGAAGAUGGACAGGGAACGGUGUCUUCCAACUGCGUCUGAGAUAAAGAAAGGCUUGCCUGGAAAUUUAAAGGAAUAGUUUGCCCUAAAAAAUUUUAAUUUGCUGCAAAUACUCAUCCUCAGACCAUCCAAAAAUCAGAAUAGAUUUGGAGAAAUGUAGCAUUCCCUCACUUGCUCACCAAUGGAUCCUCUGCAGUGAAUGGGUGCCGUCAAAAUGAGAGUCUAAACAGCUGAUAAAAACAUCACAAUAAUCCACAAGUAUCCACACGACUCUAAUCUAUCAAUUUUCAUCUUGUGAAGUGAAAAGCUGCAUGUCUGUAAGAAACAAAUCCAUCAUUUAGGAAUUUUAACUUUAAACCAUCGCUUCUGGUCUUAAUCCAUAAUAACGCUUCCUCCAGUGAAAAAGUCCAUUCUCUGUUGUUCUCUCACAUAAAAAUCCACCCACAUAUAUUUGUUUAGAAUGGCUUUGGACCAUUUUAACUUAUAAACGGUGUUUGAUCUGUGCACAUUUCUCUCCUUAUUCAGAGUAGAUGUCUUUUUCCACUGGAGAAAGCAAUAUUAUGGAUGGAUGAUAAUCCUUUUUUUUUUUUACAAUAAGUCUUAAUGGUGAUUUGUUUCUUUCAAACACGCAGCUUCUCACUUCUCAAGAUGUUAACUGAUGGACAGGUGUUGUGUGGAUUACCUGUGGAUUAUUGUGAUGUUUUUAUCAGCUAUUUGGACUCUCAUUCUGACGGCACCCAUUCACUGCAGAUGAUUCGUUGGUGAGCAAGUGAUGCAUGCUACAUUUCUCCAAACUGAUGAAGAAGCAAACACACCAAAUCUUGGGUGGCUUGAAGGGUGAGUGAAUAUUAAUUUUGGGGUGAACUAUUCCUUUAAUAGUUUAAAGACAUUUUUACUGCCACUGACAUUUAAUUCAAUCUCAAGUUUAUUGAUUUUGUAUUAACUAAACCGCAGUGGACCUUGGACUGGUUGGGUGCCAUAUUAAUAUGAUGUGAAUGAAAACAAGAACAGAAAUACAGUUGUGCAUGUCAAUCAUUAAUCCAGCAAAAAAAGUCUUUACAAGACAUUUCCAGUUGCCAAAAAAACUAUGCAAAACAUGUGAGUUGUGAAAAUAUGACUGUAACUUCAGAUAAUAUGCCAUAGAGAACUGACCGGACAUCAAAUAAAAACACUGGUAACAUUUUACA